rnacentral:rRNA from 1 species
GACGAACGCUGGCGGCGUGCUUAACACAUGCAAGUCGAACGAUGAAGCCGGAGCUUGCUCUGGUGAAUUAGUGGCGAACGGGUGAGUAACACGUGAGUAACCUGCCCUUGACUCUGGGAUAACUGCGGGAAACUGUAGCUAAUACCGGAUACGACCCUCGGAGGCAUCUCCUGGGGGUGGAAAGAAUUUCGGUCAAGGAUGGACUCGCGGCCUAUCAGCUAGUUGGUGAGGUAAAGGCUCACCAAGGCGACGACGGGUAGCCGGCCUGAGAGGGUGACCGGCCACGCUGGAACUGAGAGACGGCCCAGACUCCUACGGGGGGCAGCAGUGGGGAAUAUUGCACAAUGGGCGCAAGCCGGAUGCAGCAACGCCGCGUGAGGGAUGACGGCCUUCGGGUUGUAAACCUCUUUUAGCAGGGAAGAAGCGAAAGUGACGGUACCUGCAGAAAAAGCACCGGCUAACUACGUGCCAGCCGCCGCGGUAA